AUUGAACGCUGGCGGCAGGCUUAACACAUGCAAGUCGAGCGGGGGAAGGUAGCUUGCUACCGGACCUAGCGGCGGACGGGUGAGUAAUGCUUAGGAAUCUGCCUAUUAGUGGGGGACAACAUCUCGAAAGGGAUGCUAAUACCGCAUACGUCCUACGGGAGAAAGCAGGGGAUCUUCGGACCUUGCGCUAAUAGAUGAGCCUAAGUCGGAUUAGCUAGUUGGUGGGGUAAAGGCCUACCAAGGCGACGAGCUGUAGCGGGUCUGAGAGGAUGAUCCGCCACACUGGGACUGGAACACGGCCCAGACUCCUACGGGAGGCAGCAGUGGGGAAUAUUGGACAAUGGGGGGAACCCUGAUCCAGCCAUGCCGCGUGUGUGAAGAAGGCCUUAUGGUUGUAAAGCACUUUAAGCGAGGAGGAGGCUACUCUAGUUAAUACCUAGGGAUAGUGGACGUUACUCGCAGAAUAAGCACCGGCUAACUCUGUGCCAGCCGCCGCGGUAA
rnacentral:rRNA from 1 species